rnacentral:rRNA from 1 species
GACGAACGCUGGCGGCGUGCUUAACACAUGCAAGUCGAACGGAAAGGCCCUGCUUUUGUGGGGUGCUCGAGUGGCGAACGGGUGAGUAACACGUGAGUAACCUGCCCUUGACUUUGGGAUAACUUCAGGAAACUGGGGCUAAUACCGGAUAGGAGCUCCUGCUGCAUGGUGGGGGUUGGAAAGUUUCGGCGGUUGGGGAUGGACUCGCGGCUUAUCAGCUUGUUGGUGGGGUAGUGGCUUACCAAGGCUUUGACGGGUAGCCGGCCUGAGAGGGUUACCGGCCACAUUGGGACUGGGAUACGGCCCAGACUCCUACGGGAGGCAGCAGUGGGGAAUAUUGCACUAUGGGCGGAAGCCUGAUGCAGCAACGCCGCGUGCGUGAUGACGGCCUUCGGGUUGUACACCGCUUUCGCCUGUGACGAAGCGUGAGUGACGGUAAUGGGUAAAGAAGCACCGGCUAACUACGUG